rnacentral:rRNA from 1 species
UACGUAGGGUGCGAGCGUUAAUCGGAAUUACUGGGCAUAAAGCGUGCGCAGGCGGUUUUGUAAGCCAGAUGUGAAAUCCCCGGGCUCAACCUGGGAAUGGCAUUUGGGACUGCAAGGCUGGAGUGCGGCAGAGGAGACUGGAAUUCCUGGUGUAGCAGUGAAAUGCGUAGAUAUCAGGAGGAAUACCGAUGGCGAAGGCAGGUCUCUGGGCUGACACUGACGCUCAUGCACGAAAGCGUGGGGAGCAAACAGG